rnacentral:rRNA from 1 species
AACGAACGUUAGCGGCGCGCUUAACACAUGCAAGUCGUGCGAGAAAGGGAGCAAUCCCCGGGUAAAGCGGCGCACGGGUGAGUAACACGUAGGUAACGUGCCCCCAGGUGGUGGAUAACCUUCCGAAAGGAGGGCUAAUACAGCAUAAGACCACGGCUUCGAAAGGAGCUGAGGUCAAAGUCGGCCUCUAUUCAUAAGCUGACGCCAGGGGAUCGGCCUGCGGCCCAUCAGGUAGUUGGUAGGGUAAUGGCCUACCAAGCCUAAGACGGGUAGGCUGGUCUGAGAGGAUGAUCAGCCACACUGGAACUGAGACACGGUCCAGACUCCUACGGGAGGCAGCUAGUGGGGAAUCUUGCGCAAUGGGCGAAAGCCUGACGCAGCGACGCCGCGUGAGUGAUGAAGGCC